rnacentral:rRNA from 1 species
UACGGAGGGUGCGAGCGUUGUCCGGAAUCAUUGGGCGUAAAGGGCGCGUAGGUGGCCCGGUAAGCGUGCGGUGAAAGCUCGGGGCUCAACCCCGAGUCGGCCGUGCGAACUGCUGGGCUUGAGCACUGUAGAGGCAGGCGGAAUUCCGGGUGUAGCGGUGGAAUGCGUAGAGAUCCGGAAGAACACCGGUGGCGAAGGCGGUCUGCUGGGCAGUUGCUGACACUGAGGCGCGACAGCGUGGGGAGCAAACAGG